CUGGUAGCUCAGCGGUCAGAGCAGACGACUCAUAAUCGUUUGGUCGUGGGUUCAAUCCCCACCCGGCC
rnacentral:tRNA from 1 species